GGAACAUACUGAGCAGAGCUAGGGUUGGCACCACCACUGAUCCAUAAAGAAAGGCUUGGCGGGGAGUGCUUGAGUUUGUCUGAAAAGGACAUCUGCGCAGCCCCAGGGUCACAGAUCCAGGACCGAAUGAGGAGAGGCCCUGCACCAAGAGAUGGUAUUCCAAGGUGAAGCCAGCGACCAGAGAGAUGAAGUGAUUGAC